rnacentral:rRNA from 1 species
CAAUAGCGUAUAUUAACGUUGUUGCAGUUAAAAAGCUCGUAGUUGGAUUUCUGGAGGGAGCGUCGGCCCGUAUUUACGAGUGCGUGACGUCUCUGUCCAUCCUUGCGGGAAGGCACGGCAUUGAUUUGUUGUGUCGGAUCGCAUCAUUUACUGUGAAAAAAUUAGAGUGUUCAAAGCAGGCUUUCGCUUGAAUACAUUAGCAUGGAAUAAUAAGAUGGGACUUUGGUGCUAUUUUGUUGGUUGAGCCUAAAGUAAUGAUUAAUAGGGAUAGUUGGGGGCACCUGUAUUGCGUUGUCAGAGGUGAAAUUCUUGGAUUUACGCAAGACAAACAGCUGCGAAAGCGUCUGCCAAGGAUGUUUUCAUUAA